GACGAACGCUGGCGGCGUGCUUAACACAUGCAAGUCGAACGGAAAGGCCCUGCUUUUGUGGGGUGCUCGAGUGGCGAACGGGUGAGUAACACGUGAGUAACCUGCCCUUGACUUUGGGAUAGCCUCGGGAAACCGGGAUUAAUACCUUAUGACACUUAGAUAUCGCAUGAUAAUUAAGUUAAAGAAUUUCGGUGAAAGAUGGUCUCGCGUCUGAUUAGCUAGUUGGUAAGGUAACGGCUUACCAAGGCGACGAUCAGUAGCCGGAUUGAGAGGUUGAACGGCCACACUGGAACUGAGACACGGUCCAG
rnacentral:rRNA from 1 species